rnacentral:rRNA from 1 species
UCAGGAUGAACGCUGGCGGCGUGCUAACACAUGCAAGUCGAACGGGAACACGGAGCUUGCUCUGUGGGAUCAGUGGCGAACGGGUGAGUAACACGUGAGCAACCUGCCCCUGACUCUGGGAUAAGCGCUGGAAACGGCGUCUAAACUGGAUAUGUGACGUGCCGCAUGGUCUGCGUUGGAAAGAUUUUUCGGUUGGGGAUGGGCUCGCGGCCUAUCAGCUUGUUGGUGAGGUAAUGGCUCACCAAGGCGUCGACGGGUAGCCGGCCUGAGAGGGUGACCGGCCACACUGGGACUGAGACACGGCCCAGACUCCUACGGGAGGCAGCAGUGGGGAAUAUUGCACAAUGGGCGAAAGCCUGAUGCAGCAACGCCGCGUGAGGGAUGACGGCCUUCGGGUUGUAAACCUCUUUUAGCAGGGAAGAAGCGAAAGUGACGGUACCUGCAGAAAAAGCGCCGGCUAACUACGUGCCAGCAGCCGCGGUAAUACGUAGGGCGCAAGCGUUAUCCGGAAUUAUUGGGCGUAAAGAGCUCGUAGGCGGUUUGUCGCGUCUGCUGUGAAAUCCCGAGGCUCAACCUCGGGCCUGCAGUGGGUACGGGCAGACUAGAGUGCGGUAGGGGAGAUUGGAAUUCCUGGUGUAGCGGUGGAAUGCGCAGAUAUCAGGAGGAACACCGAUGGCGAAGGCAGAUCUCUGGGCCGUAACUGACGCUGAGGAGCGAAAGGGUGGGGAGCAAACAGGCUUAGAUACCCUGGUAGUCCACCCCGUAAACGUUGGGAACUAGUUGUGGGGUCCAUUCCACGGAUUCCGUGACGCAGCUAACGCAUUAAGUUCCCCGCCUGGGGAGUACGGCCGCAAGGCUAAAACUCAAAGGAAUUGACGGGGACCCGCACAAGCGGCGGAGCAUGCGGAUUAAUUCGAUGCAACGCGAAGAACCUUACCAAGGCUUGACAUAUACGAGAACGGGCCAGAAAUGGUCAACUCUUUGGACACUCGUAAACAGGUGGUGCAUGGUUGUCGUCAGCUCGUGUCGUGAGAUGUUGGGUUAAGUCCCGCAACGAGCGCAACCCUCGUUCUAUGUUGCCAGCACGUAAUGGUGGGAACUCAUGGGAUACUGCCGGGGUCAACUCGGAGGAAGGUGGGGAUGACGUCAAAUCAUCAUGCCCCUUAUGUCUUGGGCUUCACGCAUGCUACAAUGGCCGGUACAAAGGGCUGCAAUACCGUGAGGUGGAGCGAAUCCCAAAAAGCCGGUCCCAGUUCGGAUUGAGGUCUGCAACUCGACCUCAUGAAGUCGGAGUCGCUAGUAAUCGCAGAUCAGCAACGCUGCGGUGAAUACGUUCCCGGGUCUUGUACACACCGCCCGUCAAGUCAUGAAAGUCGGU